UCCUGGCUCAGGAUGAACGCUAGCUACAGGCUUAACACAUGCAAGUCGAGGGGCAGCAUGAUCUUAGCUUGCUAAGAUUGAUGGCGACCGGCGCACGGGUGAGUAACGCGUAUCCAACCUACCUCAUAGUAGGGAAUAGCCCGGAGAAAUCCGGAUUAAUGCCCUAUGUGGUCCUAUGCAGACAUCUAAAUGGGACCAAAGGUUUACCGCUAUGUGAUGGGGAUGCGUCUGAUUAGGUUGUUGGCGGGGUAACGGCCCACCAAGCCUGCGAUCAGUAGGGGUUCUGAGAGGAAGGUCCCCCACAUUGGAACUGAGACACGGUCCAAACUCCUACGGGAGGCAGCAGUGAGGAAUAUUGGUCAAUGGCCGAGAGGCUGAACCAGCCAAGUAGCGUGCAGGAUGACGGCCCUAUGGGUUGUAAACUGCUUUUGUCAGGGAAUAAAGUCGGGGACGUGUCCCCGUUUGUAUGUACCUGAAGAAUAAGGACCGGCUAAUUCCGUGCCAGCAGCCGCGGUAAUACGGAAGGUCCGGGCGUUAUCCGGAUUUAUUGGGUUUAAAGGGAGCGCAGGCCGGAUGGUAAGCGUGACGUGAAAUGUGGCGGCUCAACCGCCGAACUGCGUCGCGAACUGCCGUUCUUGAGUGCAGACGAGGUGGGCGGAAUUCGUGGUGUAGCGGUGAAAUGCUUAGAUAUCACGAAGAACUCCGAUUGCGAAGGCAGCCCACCAGGGUGUAACUGACGCUAAAGCUCGAAAGUGCGGGUAUCGAACAGGAUUAGAUACCCUGGUAGUCCGCACGGUAAACGAUGGAUGCCCGCUGUUUGCGAUAUAUUGUAAGCGGCCAAGCGAAAGCGUUAAGCAUCCCACCUGGGGAGUACGCCGGCAACGGUGAAACUCAAAGGAAUUGACGGGGGCCCGCACAAGCGGAGGAGCAUGUGGUUUAAUUCGAUGAUACGCGAGGAACCUUACCCGGGCUUGAACGUGAGAUGGAUAUCUGAGAGAUUAGGUAGUUAUUUAUAACGUCUUGCGAGGUGCUGCAUGGUUGUCGUCAGCUCGUGCCGUGAGGUGUCAGGUUAAGUCCUAUAACGAGCGCAACCCUUGUCAUUAGUUACCAGCAUGUAGUGGUGGGGACUCUAAUGAUACUGCCGGCGUAAGCCGCGAGGAAGGGGGGGAUGACGUCAAAUCAGCACGGCCCUUACGUCCGGGGCGACACACGUGCUACAAUGGCCAUUACAGAGGGCAGUUACCUGGUGACAGGAUACGAAUCUCUAAAGGUGGUCUUAGUACGGAUUGGAGUCUGCAACUCGACUCCAUGAAGUUGGAUUCGCUAGUAAUCGCAGAUCAGCCAUGCUGCGGUGAAUACAAACCCGGGCCUUGCACUCACCGCCCGUCA
rnacentral:rRNA from 1 species